rnacentral:rRNA from 1 species
AUUGAACGCUGGCGGCAGGCCUAACACAUGCAAGUCGAGCGGAUGAAGGGAGCUUGCUCCUGGAUUCAGCGGCGGACGGGUGAGUAAUGCCUAGGAAUCUGCCUUGUAGUGGGGGAUAACGUCCGGAAACGGGCGCUAAUACCGCAUCCGUCCUGAGGGAGAAAGUGGGGGAUCUUCGGACCUCACGCUAUCAGAUGAGCCUAGGUCGGAUUAGCUAGUUGGUGGGGUAAAGGCCUACCAAGGCGACGAUCCGUAACUGGUCUGAGAGGAUGAUCAGUCACACUGGAACUGAGACACGGUCCAGACUCCUACGGGAGGCAGCAGUGGGGAAUAUUGGACAAUGGGCGAAAGCUUGACCCAGCCAUGCCGCGUGUGUGAAGAAGGUCUUCGGAUUGUAAAGCACUUUAAGUUGGGAGGAAGGGCAGUAAGUUAAUACCUUGCUGUUUUGACGUUACCAACAGAAUAAGCACCGGCUAACUUCGUG